CCUACACAGUGCCACUGUACUCCAGCCUUGGCAACAGAGUGAGACUCCAUCUCAAAAAAAAAAAAUUACUAUUAACAGUGUGGUGUAAAUACAUCCUCCCAGCCUUUUCAUGCAUAUAUAAGCCUACAUUUUAACUCAAAUAUAAUCGGAGCAUAAUACAGUCCUGUAACCACCUUUUUCACUCCUCAGUAUGUCAUAGAUAUCUACAUAGAUCUCAAUACAUUUUGAUCUAAUUUAUCUUUUCAAAGGUAUAGAAGUUGUUCGUCAUGUAAUUCACUGCGAACAGUAAAGGAAGGAAGCCCACAAAGAUGAUUUUUAUUUAUCUAUAAGUCUAUAGAACUGAAAUUAUGCUCUUUGGAAUACGGAAGAAUCAAGCCCAACUGUGAUAUAUAUAUAUAUAUAUACACACACACAUACAUAUAUAUAUAUAAAACUGUGAUAUAUAUGUGUGAUAUAUAUAUAUUAGCAUAUAUAUGUUAUAUAUAUAUUAGCAUAUAUAUGUUAUAUAUAUAUAUUAGCAUAAUGAAAUGAAAGAACUGGUUCAUUUGAAGAGGAAAUAUGUAUGCACAUGUGCCAAUAAGCUAAAUAUAAAUGUAUUCCUCUCUAAUCUUUUUUUCAUCAUCAAUAAAUUAUUUCAGCAAUUCAAAUAAAAAGAAUCUGUACAAGGUCUGAACUUGGCUAUUGUUUAUCAGAAUAGUGAAAACAUCCUCUUCUGAAUUAGAAAGUACUCUUCCUGCCUUUCUUCAAAAGAAUAGUAGGGAAUAGUUGGUCCAGAAGUGCCACAAAAUGUUUAUCCUCCAUUUAUAGAUAGGAAUAAACAUUUCAUUAUAGGGCAUGGUCUUCUGUACAGGUGGGUAGAGUGUGAUUUUAAAAGGACAGGUUGCCAAAGAAGAGGAGUUUUUUUCUAGAUACCUGUGAGAUGGGGAAAAGCUCAAAGGGCAAGGAAGAAGAAUCAUCUAGACCUUCAAAGGCCACGCAGGGCUUCCAACUCUGGCUGUGAAUUAGAAUCACCUGAAGAAUCUAGAAAAAUAUUGAUGUCUGGGUCUCAUCCCACAGUAAUUAAAUUAUAACCUGGGAAUGGAGCGCAGGCAAGGGUGUUUUUAUUUUUUAUUUUAUUUUUUUGAGACAGGGUCUCGCUCUGUUAUCCAGGCUGGAGUGUAAG
rnacentral:lncRNA from 1 species